rnacentral:rRNA from 1 species
GCUAAAAGGAGAGGAGAGGGCCGAGCAGAGGUAGGCGCUGCCUCGCCGCCGGAUCCCAAACGCGGCGCGGCGGCGGGCGCGGCGGAGGGGCGGCUGGUCGGGACGCGCUGCGGUUGACGGAGAGGCUGGGGGGCUUCUCGCGACGCGGAGGGCUCCUGGUUGCCUCGGCCAGGGUAGGCACGGGGGGGAGGGGCCGCUUCGGAUUUCACAGUAACGCCUUGUUGUCUCCUUCGUACCGUCUCCCACCAUAACACCACCGGUAGACGGUCGUGCCGCCCCUCAAGUGAGGACCGGGGUUACCCUUAGACCAGAUGUUUCCCCCUCUUCGCGUGCGGCAACUGCAGAGAGCCCUCUACGGUGACCUGUCGAAGUUCCUACUCCACAGGUUCCACAAGGUACAGCUACAGUGACUGUACAGCAAGUUUAUGAAGGACGGUUUGUUGUUGUCUUGCGAGUAGUGUUAGAGUACACUAGCCCUAAACGUUGCCUACCAACUAAAAUGACGGUCACGGCGCGUUCAUCUGCAAAAACAGUAAUCAUUUCCCCUCUUGUCCUCACAACAUUGAAUGUGACCUCGAAGGUGACAAUUUCGACCUAGAUUACGUGUCCCACUGUUUUCCUUUUUCGGUCGAAGGUUUUUGUUCCGUAGGUUUUCAUUGUUCUUCUGGGGUUUACGAUGGCCACGACGUCAACUUCGAUUAUGGGUACUAAAGUUAGUCGGUUCUGGCCACCUCUGAAAUUUACUAAUGUUACUCCUAAAAGUUGAUCUUAAACCUGCACUACAACGGAAACGGUGGUGUCGACUCCGACAAAGGAGACGAGGUCUGCAAUACUUAGUCCUCUUCGAACGAGAGCAACUAUGGUGUGUUUCCCUUGAUUAACCCGGAAAACUACUAAGUUAGUUACGUAUACUACCAAGCCUCUAGUAUUAUCUAGGAGGGGUCCUUGAAUGGUCAUUGGGGUGAUACAAGACCCUACUGUAAUAAUUUCCACAACCAGUUCUUAAACUAUUGCACUUCCUAAAGGCUCGAGUCAACACGUUCAUAAGGUAGCGCUUUCCUAAACGCAUGGCCAAGUAUUUUUUACUUUGGUGGUCUCAGUGACACUUCACACAACCCCUACCGACGUGGACCUCUAACGUACGUAGGCUCAGUAGAGCAUCGUUCUUCAAACAAUAGUUCUUUUACUGACUACACGUGUGUACACCUCCUCUUCCACCUCUCCCAGUCGCCGCUCGUUGUUCCGUCACCGACUGAUGGUAGUAAUUCCUCUUUGACGCACACUUGCGUAGUGAGUUCGGCUUCCUGGAACAGUUUCUUUAUAUACUUCUUAUACCUCAAGACGACUGGAUAAGUGUCCAAACCGCUCCAUCUCUUCACCGUGUCUUCCUCUACAAAGUACAAUACUCCCUCUGUAAACCGGUAAACGGGACCAUGGCACUGUCUGAAAAAGUCUGAUUGGGUCCCUCGAGUGAACUUAACAGAGUCUGUCACCUAUGUGCGGCACAAAAAUAGCGUAAGGUACGAAGAAACGUGCCUAAACGUUUACCCACGUCCGGGGAGGAAAAAGAACUGUUCCAAGGCGAGUUCCGCUGUUUACUCAUGUUCAACGACCAACGCCGACGUCAACUACGUCUACUACCACAGAAAGGUCACCGUAAAUUACACCAACUUCUACUUUCAAUACUGUCGACCCAAACCAAGAACUACGUCGACUCCUAACGAGAGGUUAUAGUGUCGAUGGGUAAGUUACGAUACUGUAAGAACAGGUUACCUGUUUUCCCAGACCUACGACGACAAGGUGUACACAAACUUCUAUCGGUGGUACGGAAGACAAAUGUAGUAUAGUACCUCCUUAAGUCUCCUCUUGACUCCUUCCCUGGUACCAGCGUUGUCUAUUCUCUACGCUACCAGCUCCUAAAAUGAGCACGCCGGCUUCGUACGUCGUAACUACUCAAAUUACGUAGUUAACUCUCGUAUUCCUUAUAUAGGUGACUUCGACGGCUGACCUAGUAACGCUCAUUCGGUCUCGUAACCAGUCUACGACAGAAGUGUCCGACGGCCAUACUGGUAAAGAGUAGUUUGUAACAACUACGUAAAUUAUUGACCUAUGGUUGUUUCUUCCUCCCCAGGUACCACGACUACUAUCUGAGAGACUCUUAUUUUUAUCACCUCUAUUACCUUCGUUCCGCACUCCGGACGUUCAGUACCCUUCCCGGAAAUUGUGGAAGGUACCUAAAGUUUCGCGUCCCACUCUACAGCUUCCGAUCAUUCGACUGGCACGACACGAGAAGGCUCUGACACAAACUUCACGCCCCGUCGCCAUAAAAACAACAAUUAGAACGUUUAACCCUUACGUGUACAGCCUCCACCGUUGAAAGACCGGAGGGAACAUACGUACGACAACGACACAAAUUGUCCUAACCUGCUAGAAAGAUGCUGAUGACAAGGUUCAAAAAAUUUUAUCUCUCGAUGGUAUACCGUAUGAGUCCUUGUUAGGAGGGUUAAGGACUGUACCUAUGGAAACUAAAAUCACGACCCCGUUGCUAGGGUGGAGGGUUCGGUGCGUGUAGUCUAUUUGGCUCUUCUUUCUCCAAAUUAGGGUUGUUCCAUUGGUGAGAAUAUGCCGAGACAUCGUCCACGUUCGUCCGUCCGGUGUUGUUCCGUUGUACACUUCGGGAAGACAUCUGUUCCGUUUUAGAAGUAGACGUCAUACAUAUCGUCCAAGUGAACCUUCAGACUACACCACUUUCUCUCAAGUACCAUCAGACAAGUGAACCUUCAGACUACACCACUUUCUCUCAAGUACCAUCAGACAAGUGAACCUUCAGACUACACCACUUUCUAUCAAGUAACAUCACCGAAGACAAAAAUCUCCCUUCCCACCUCUAUUGUGCUGUAGUAAGCUAUACUAAAACAAAUAUACUCCCCACAUUGAAUUUCAAGACAUCGCUACCUGAUGUCUACUACUAGGCCACGAUCGAAGACCUGUCACAGUUGACUUUUGUCUCAUCAGCUACUCCCUCAUAAGUUAUGAUGUUCCUUGAGUUCGAGGUACUAAAAACAUACAUACUGUCAUAUUUAGACAAAACGCCAUUGUAUUCUCGCUAAGCAACCUAAACUUCUGACGUGGCUAAGGGCAGUAGUCACAGACCUCGUUCGUUAGACUUUACGAAACGAAGAGAACGAAAAGUCGUAGAGAACGAAAAGCAAUCAACACACGCUCGAAAUUGUGAUCGUACUCUGUUAUCUCUCACCGUGACAACAACAACCUCUACCAUAACCACACCUGUAGGUUACUCUAAUCUCUACUCUUUUCCCUAUUUUCCAAGUACCCCUGUACUUGACACAUGCGUUUUAGUAGUUUCCGCUACUAAAGGAGGUGACUCAUUAUUGUAUAAAAAA